GGCUGACCUGCAUAGUACUCAUUGCUUCUUCAUAUUCUUCAGUGGGCAGGAUCUGGCUGCGCUGUAAUCCCUUCAUCUGUGCCAGGUGGAUGAUGAGCCGACACUCCUCGUCACUCAGGAAGCCAGGAAUUUCUGCCAUAAGAGGAGGGUCAUCUACCAGUGCUGCAGCCUGUGUGAGGUAAUGCAAGCCAGCUGCUCACCCAUCAUGGCCUGCUAUGGCUACUCCUGGCCAGCCAUCUUGAACUGUGGACGAUUCCCCGUGCGCCAUGGUCUCUGCAUCUCAGCUAUGUCCAAUGGCUCCCGCCUAAACUACCCAUAUGGAUUCUAUAUUGCCCAGGCUGACCCUAAAUUCCUGUUGUACUCAUCAUGCUCCUGCCUCAGUCUCCCAAGCAACUUAAACUACAGGUGUGUGCCACACUUGGAUUCUCAUUUUAAACAGUUAUAUAAUGUGGAC